UUAAGAGCAUAAGGUGGAUGCCUUGGCACAAAAUGGCGAUGAAGGACGUGGUGUGGCUGCGAUAAGCCUCGGGAAGCUGCUUAACAAGCUUUGAUCCGGGGAUUUCCGAAUGGGGGAACCCAAUAGAGUAAACCUCUAUUACUUCAGACUAGAGCUGAAGAGUAUACCAGGGGAAGUGAAACAUCUCAGUACCCUGAGGAAAAGAGAAAAAUAUUUUAUUCCCUGAGUAGCGGCGAGCGAAACGGGAAGAGCCCAAACCAAUAAUUUAUUAUUGGGGUUGUAAGGUAAGAACAUUCAGUGAAAUGAACUAGGUCGGUUACUUCGGUAACCAAUAGUGACCUAAUUCAUCUUACUGAAAGAAGUUACAAAUUGAUUUGUUAGUUGAAACAGUUGGAAAUCUGUACCAAAGACGGUGAUAGUCCGGUAAACGAAAACUUAUCAACUUCUGUUUUUAUUCUUGAGUACCUCGAGGACAGGUAACCUUGAGGGAAUCUACCAGUACUAGCUGGUAAGGCUAAAUACAUUUUGUGACCGAUAGUGAAUAGUACCGUGAGGGAAAGGUGAAAAGUAGGCCGGUAAGGCCAGUGAAAUAGAACCUGAAACCUUAUGCUUACAAGGAGCUAGAGCCCUAAGUCCUUCGGGACGGGGUGAUAGUGUGCCUAUUGAAGAAUGAGCCAACGAGUUUAUCUGUAUUGCUUGUCUAAGUCGCAAUAGCGAUGGAGGCGUAGGGAAACCGAGUCUUAAUAGGGCGCUUUCCACCUUCGGGUGGUAUGCAGUAUGGGUAAGACCCGAAGCCAAGCGAGCUUACCUUGGCCAGGUUGAACCCCUUUUAAUCGAGGGAGGAGGACCGAACCGUUGCGUCGUGCAAAACGCUCGGAGGAGCUGAGGUAAGGAGUGAAAAGCUAAUCGAGCUUGGUAAUAGCUGGUUCUCUCCGAAAUAGCUUUAGGGCUAGCGGUCAGCAAAAAUUUAUAGGGGGUAGAGCACUGGAUGGUUUGUGUCGGGCGCAAGCUCAGCAAACCAAUCAAACUCCGAAUACCUAUAUCAUUCGGCUGGCUAGUUAGACUGUGGGGGCUAAGCUCCAUAGUCGCGAGGGAAAGAGCCCAGAUCGCUGUCUAAGGUCCCAAAGUCUUUGCUAAGUGUUAAAGGUAGUUAUUAACCUCUGACAGGUAGGAGGUUGGCUUAGAGGUAGCCAUCCUUUAAAGAGUGUGUAACAACCCACUACUCGAUGGUUAGUAGCGCCGAAAAUUUACCGGGGCUAAGCAAGGCACCGAAGACGCGGGUUAGUAUAAUUUUAAUAAUUGUAUUAGCGGUAGGAGAGCAUUCCUAAUGCGUUGAAGCUGGAUCUGUGAAGACCAGUGGAGCGUUGGGAAGAGAAAAUGUUGGCAUGAGUAAUCACAAUGUCGAUGAGAAAUCGGCACCCCGAAAAUCUAAGGUUUCCGUGGCAAUGGCAAUCAUCCACGGGUUAGGCGGUCCUAAGGCGAUGGCGAAAGCCGCAGUCGAUGGACAGUCGGUUAAUAUUCCGACCCCUUUAUAUAGUCCGAUGGAGGGACGGGGAGUAGUAAGCUGGGCGUAUUAGUGGUUUUACGUCCUUUACUAAGGGUGUUAGUUAGGCAAAUCCGGCUAACAUUAAGCCCAAGGAAAGAGGCGAGUUAAGGUUUUCCUUAGCAAGUCAGCUGAGCACUUCUCCAAGAAAAACUUCUAAGGUUAACUAUAUAAAGACCGUACCAAAACCAACACAGGUAGAUGAGGCGAGAAGCCUAAGGGGAACGAGUGAGUCUUCGUUAAGGAACUCGGCAAAAAAGCGGCCGUAACUUCGGGAUAAGGCCUGCCCUCUUCGGAGGGCCGCAGCGAAAGUAUCUCUGGCGACUGUUUAUCAAAAACACAGCUCCCUGCGAACUCUAAUGAGGAUGUAUAGGGGGUGACACCUGACCGAUGCGAGAAGGUUAAAUCUGGCGGUGUAUUAACUUCGGUUAACACGCUAACUGGAUGAAGCCCUCGUCAAUGUCGGCGGUAACUAUAACCGUCCUAAGGUAGCGCAUUUCCUUUCCGGGUAAGUUCCGGAGCGCACGAAUGGUGUAACGACUGGAGAACUGUCUCAACGAAGAGCUCGAUGAAAAUGCGAUUCCCGUAAAGACGCGGGAUACCUGCAGCGGGACGAAAAGACCCCGGGAGCUUUACUGUAGCUUGAUAUUGAGUUUAAGAAUUGUUUGCGUAGAAUAGUGAGGAGACUUUGAAGCAUUAUUUUCGGAUAGUGUGGAGUCGUCAGUGAAAUACUCAUCUCUCAAUUUUUAAAUUCUAAUCUGAUCGGAAAAAACGGUCGGAGACAGUGUCUGGUGGGCAGUUUGCAUGGGGCGUGUUCCUCCUAAAAGGUAACGGAGGAGUCUAUUAAGGUUGGCUUAGUCCGGAUGGAAAUCGGACUGGACGUGUAAAGGCAUAAGCCAGCUUGACGGCAAGACUUACAAGUCGCGCCGGUACGAAAGUAGAGCUUAGUGACCCGAUAGUUCUUUCUAGAAAGGCUAGAGACAUCGGCUAAAAGCUACCCCGGGGAUAACAGGCUGGUAUUGUCCGAGAGUUCAUAUCGACGACAAUGUUCGGCACCUCGAUGUCGGCUCACCCUAUCCUGGUGCUGAAGAAGGUGCCAAGGGUUUGGCUGUUCGCCAAUUAAAAGGGUACGCGAGCUGGGUUCAGACCGUCGUGAGACAGGUUGGUCUCUAUCUGCUGUAGGCGUUGAUCACUUGAGGGAAGCUGACUCUAGUACGAGAGGACCGAGUUGGACGAGCCUCUGGUCUACCAGCUUUGGCACCAGCUGAAUCGCUGGGUAGCUAUGCUCGGCAGGGAUAAGAGCUGAAAGCAUCUAAGCACGAAGCCCAUCCCAAGAUAAGGUGAUCGUCACUUCGGUGACAACGAUUCGUGGAAGACUACCACGUUGAUAGGCUCUAGGUGUAAGACUGGUAACGGUUUUAGCCGAGGAGUACUAAUUAUCGUUCACGAUUCCU
rnacentral:rRNA from 1 species